GUAGGUGAACCUGCGGAAGGAUCAUUACCAUUACAUCAACAGGGAGCUUUUCAAAUUUGGUCUCGGCUAGAUUUGAUUACUCUCUGCUUGACGUUACCCAUGCCUUUUUGCGUACAGUUUGUUUUCCCAGAAGGGCAUUCUUGCCCCUACCGGAUAUCAUUCCACCCUUGAAUUUGCAGUCUAUAUCAGAAAAUUAUAAUAAUUACAACUUUUAACAACGGAUCUCUUGGUUCUG
rnacentral:misc_RNA from 1 species